UACGGAGGAUGCAAGCGUUGUCCGGAUUUACUGGGCGUAAAGAGCGCGCAGGCGGUCGGAUAAGUCGAAUGUGAAAGCCCCCGGCUCAACUGGGGAGGGUCAUUCGAUACUGUUCGACUCGAAGGCAGGAGAGGGAAGUGGAAUUCCCAGUGUAGAGGUGAAAUUCGUAGAUAUUGGGAAGAACACCGGUGGCGAAGGCGGCCAUCUGGACCGAGACUGACGCUGAGGCGCGAAAGCGUGGGGAGCAAACAGG
rnacentral:rRNA from 1 species